rnacentral:tRNA from 1 species
GGGAAUGUGGCUUAGCGGUAGAGUGCUUGCCUAGCAUGCAUGAAGUCCUGGGUUCAAUUCCUCAGUACCA